CCUACGGGAGGCAGCAGUGAGGAAUAUUGGUCAAUGGGCGCGAGCCUGAACCAGCCAAGUAGCGUGAAGGAUGACUGCCCUACGGGUUGUAAACUUCUUUUAUAAAGGAAUAAAGUGAUGCACGUGUGCCUUUUUGUAUGUACCUUAUGAAUAAGGAUCGGCUAACUCCGUGCCAGCAGCCGCGGUAAUACGGAGGAUCCGAGCGUUAUCCGGAUUUAUUGGGUUUAAAGGGAGCGUAGAUGGGUUGUUAAGUCAGGUGUGAAAGGUUGCGGCUCAACCGUAAAAUUGCAAUUGAUACUGGCAGCCUUGAGUACAGUUGAGGUAGGCGGAAUUCGUGGUGUAGCGGUGAAAUGCUUAGAUAUCACGAAGAACUCCGAUUGCGAAGGCAGCCUACUGGACUGCAACUGACAUUGAGGCUCGAAAGUGUGGGUAUCAAACAGGAUUAGAUACCCUAGUAGUC
rnacentral:rRNA from 1 species